CAGUAAGAUGGCUGGUCGUGCAAUACCUCCUUAAUAGACAUUCAGGCUCUUAGGCUCGAACAAACAAACAAACAAACAAACAAACAAACAAACAAUCAAACAAAUUAAUAACAAUACGAAAUAUGCUUCUGACUCUCAUGAUUAGUGGUUCAAAAGAAGCAGAGAAGUAACCCAAGGGGGAGGAGAGCGCAUCUUCACAGGAACUGCUGUCAUAAAGCUCUUUUAUAUGAAUGGGUUGUAUGAGAAGUGCCAGGGCAUUGUUACCAAGGCUCACACUAAAUGUGUCCUGGCCACACAAACGAGUAUCAUACAACAUAGCAGCCAAGAGAACACCACUGUGGAAGCAGAUCUUUCAGACCCAGCGGGAACUCUCCAAACUAAAAGCUUCUCUCGAAUAUCGGCCAUCCGUCUGCUGUCCCAGCACCUGCCCAAGGAGGACGGG